AGGUGUUACGGACGGGAGAUGCUGAAAAUGUUGAUGAAUCAUCACAAAUUUAAAAAGUAUUUGAAAGAGUCUGCCCCCUCACGUGACUUGUUGGAUGUUAUGGCAACAAUUCAGCAGAAAGAGACAGAAGAAAAUAAAUGUGCACCUCCAUCUGCCAAGGACCGCAGGAAGUCUAAGAACAGCGGCUUGACGAAGGCCCAGGACAACCUACCUCACGAUGGAGGG